GAUGAACGCUGGCGGCGUGCCUAAUACAUGCAAGUCGAGCGAACAGACGAGGAGCUUGCUCCUCUGACGUUAGCGGCGGACGGGUGAGUAACACGUGGAUAACCUACCUAUAAGACUGGGAUAACUUCGGGAAACCGGAGCUAAUACCGGAUAAUAUAUUGAACCGCAUGGUUCAAUAGUGAAAGACGGUUUUGCUGUCACUUAUAGAUGGAUCCGCGCCGCAUUAGCUAGUUGGUAAGGUAACGGCUUACCAAGGCAACGAUGCGUAGCCGACCUGAGAGGGUGAUCGGCCACACUGGGACUGAGACACGGUCCAGACUCCUACGGGAGGCAGCAGUAGGGAAUCUUCCGCAAUGGGCGAAAGCCUGACGGAGCAACGCCGCGUGAGUGAUGAAGGUCUUCGGAUCGUAAAACUCUGUUAUUAGGGAAGAACAAAUGUGGAAGUAACUAUGCACGUCUUGACGGUACCUAAUCAGAAAGCCACGGCUAACUACGUG
rnacentral:rRNA from 1 species